rnacentral:rRNA from 1 species
UACAGAGGUCUCAACCGUUGUUCGGAUUCAUUGGGCGUAAAGGGUGCGUAGGCGGCGGGGUAAGUCAGGUGUGAAAUCUCGGGGCUCAACCCCGAAACUGCACUUGAUACUGCCUCGCUUGAGUACUGGAGAGGAGACUGGAAUUUACGGUGUAGCAGUGAAAUGCGUAGAUAUCGUAAGGAAGACCAGUGGCGAAGGCGAGUCUCUGGACAGUUACUGACACUGAGGCACGAAGGCCAGGGGAGCAAACGGG